GCUCCAACACGUGGGAGAUAUAGCCGCAUCGUGGGCGUUACACCUCCUCAGCCACUCCCAUCGCACUCUCAUGGCUAAUCCUUGCAACUUUAGGUUCUUGACUCCCAAUCCUCCAAAGCCAGUUGGUCUGCAAAGAGUUUGCCAUGCCACCAAACAUUGCCCACCGUUCACUGAUUCCUUCCCUGCCCAGAAAAAGGCACGCAUCCAUUUGUCGAUCUCUUCAUAUACCCAUUGGGGCGCGUCCAUGACUAGCAAGUGAUGUACCGGGCGUUCCGAUAUCACACUCUUGACAAGCACAAGUCUGUCGGGCCUCUGGAUCAGCCCCCUUUGCCAUGCUGGUAUGAAUCUCUUUGCCUGAUCGAGUAUGGGCUGUCAGUCCACUCGGGUGAGCUGAUGGACGCUAAGUUGAAGACCAAGAUAUUUGCAUGGCCAAUCUUCCAUCCGGCAGUUCAAAUACAUAUUAAACACUUAUCCUAAUAAAUCAUGAGCAUUCAAAAAAUGCAUGUUUGAACAUUUUUUAAUACACAUUUGAACAUUUCAAAAAAACUCAUGAACAUUUCUUUUGAAGCUUGCAAACAUUUUGUAUGUGUUACUGGUUUUUUUACUAAAUGGUGUGAUUUAUUUGUAUGCUAUGAACACUUUUCUAGAAUUUCAAGAUUUUUGUUUUACAUGCCAUGAUUGUUUUAAUGCCAAGAGCCAUAUUUCAAAAUGUGUGAACAUUUUAUAAAUGCCUUGAGUGAUCUUUUGAAUAGAAGGAAUAUAUUUCACAAACUACGCAAACAUUUUUUUUGCAUAUUAACGAACAUUNNNNNNNNNNNNNNNNNNNNNNNNNNNNNNNNNNNNNNNNNNNNNNNNNNNNNNNNNNNNNNNNNNNNNNNNNNNNNNNNNNNNNNNNNNNNNNNNNNNNNNNNNNNNNNNNNNNNNNNNNNNNNNNNNNNNNNNNNNNNNNNNNNNNNNNNNNNNNNNNNNNNNNNNNNNNNNNNNNNNNNNNNNNNNNNNNNNNNNNNNNNNNNNNNNNNNNNNNNNNNNNNNNNNNNNNNNNNNNNNNNNNNNNNNNNNNNNNNNNNNNNNNNNNNNNNNNNNNNNNNNNNNNNNNNNNNNNNNNNNNNNNNNNNNNNNNNNNNNNNNNNNNNNNNNNNNNNNNNNNNNNNNNNNNNNNNNNNNNNNNNNNNNNNNNNNNNNNNNNNNNNNNNNNNNNNNNNNNNNNNNNNNNNNNNNNNNNNNNNNNNNNNNNNNNNNNNNNNNNNNNNNNNNNNNNNNNNNNNNNNNNNNNNNNNNNNNNNNNNNNNNNNNNNNNNNNNNNNNNNNNNNNNNNNNNNNNNNNNNNNNNNNNNNNNNNNNNNNNNNNNNNNNNNNNNNNNNNNNNNNNNNNNNNNNNNNNNNNNNNNNNNNNNNNNNNNNNNNNNNNNNNNNNNNNNNNNNNNNNNNNNNNNNNNNNNNNNNNNNNNNNNNNNNNNNNNNNNNNNNNGAACAUCUUUUUUAAUGUGUAGUGAACAUUAAAGAAAUAGGUAAAGUACUUUUAAGAACUUAAUUAUUUAAAAUAUUUCAAAAUAUCAAAUAUAUACUUCUAUAAAUAGGUAAAGAAACAGAUCGAUAGUAGUCAUGGCUACCAAAGGGGUCUGGCCUAUUAGCAUUUUGGAAACUCUGUGUAGUUUUUGGAAGGUUCCGUCAGUUGUUUUCUAUUUGUAUGUAUUUUCUCUACAUGGUUUUAUCUGUUUAUCUAAGGAUUUUCAUAUGUUUUCCCCUUUUCGUUACAUUUUCAAAUACAUGUCAACUUCUUUAAACACAGGUUAAGCACUUUUUUCCCGAUUGCACAUUUUCCAAAUAUCAUGAACAUCUUUUUUUAAUACAUCUUGAACAUUUCUAAACAAAUAUUGAACAUUUUUAUAUAUGCCAUUAUUUUUUUAAAUAUGGGGAGAAUACUUUUUGAAGAUAAAUUGAACCUUUUUCACAAACAUGUCAAAUAUUUAUCUAAAUACAUGGUGAACAUUUUCCUAAAUAGGUUGAGCAUGUUUAAGAUAGCAAUUAAAUAUUUCACAAAUACACAUGAAUUUUUUUAAUGCAUGAUAAUCAUUGUUUAAACAUAUGACAAACAUUUUUUAAAAUUUAUGAUGAAUUUUUAUGAAGUAACUUUAUCUUUUUUAUGAUACGCGGUUGUACAUUUUUAAAUACAUAAUGAACAUUUUUUAAUUACAUGAUGAACAUUUUACUAUAUACAUGAUGACCAUUUUCAAUAGAUUAGUAAAAUUAGAAUAUAUAUGUAAUCAAAAACGAAAAGAGAGCUAUAUCUUGUUUCAUGCGAGAUGGAAGCUCCUCUCGUGUGAAGGGAAUAGGCCUUCGUGAAGCAACUGGGCCGAUAUGUUUCCUUUUUUAUUUGCUUCGCUGGCUGGUGACGUGUGAAUGCUUCGCUGGCUCGCUGUCUGUUCGCUCACAGUCGUUUCUUUUCUCUAUUCCUAAUGGACCAGUUGGUAGCCUGGUACUCCGGUUUUAUUUUCGUUCGGUUUUAUUUUCUCCCACCUCCCACCACCCCGUACCAUUGGUUUUAAACUACGUAUCGACAAAAAACCAGAUCGAUGCACCAACGAGGACCCGAUCCGCUCCUCGUUUCCCACAUCCGUCCUGGAUCACGAGAACGCCGCCGCCGCUGCCGCCUCACAUACGUCGCCCGUGGCGGAUCACCAACAAUACCGUCGCGGAUCGGCAGCCCGCCGCCACCGCCGCCUCAGGUACCCACACACCACGAUCCCAUCGCGGAUCAGCAGGCCGCCGCCACCGCCAAGUCAGGUACCCACACACCACGAUCCCGUCGCGGGUCAGCAAGACACCGCCGCCACUGCCUCGGGCAGCCACACGCCACAGAUCUCCGACGACGACGCCUAUGGCGGCAAGCAGUGCAGGGCGUCUUCACUGAUCAGUUUUCAACCUUGCUUUCUUAAAGGUACGUACGCUCAUGAUCUCUUAAAGAUCACGCAACGCUACAAAAGACAAUUGUCACCAGAUGGAGCCAUAUGCAACAGAGCCAUAUACGAUGGAGCCACCAGAUGGAGCGAUACGAAUAAAUGUUCCCCAUGUUACCAGUUCGAACACCAAAAAUACAUCCCAAGACAAUAAAUGUUUUAUCAGAUGUAUACACUGUAGUCAUUUCUUCCCUAUGUUCGCAGUUGGAACACCAAAAAUACAUGGCAAGCCAAUUGUUUAGUAUACAUACCACAUCAAUUCUAAUACUGUUGAAAAAUGAUAGGUACGAAUGGGAAAUGCAAAUAGCAAGGCGCCGGAAGAGAAAAGAGUGUCAGAUGUGCCUGUACCCCCUCUUGCCGACCUACAUUCACAAGGCAGCCAAGGUACGUUAGAAUAACAUAAAUGAGUCAGAUGUCAAGGGUGCCCAACAAUCAUUGUAUCUCGCUAAUGUGUUCCAGGCAAUAAUGUUGACGGAAGUGUCGAUGAAUACAACCCAGCAAUAAUUCCCGUAGCUGACAAUGUUGACAAUUAUCAAAUGACUCCAGGUAUUGGAGUCUGUAAAUACCCCUAUCUGUUGUAUCAUAUGGUUUUAACAUGAUCAAUCGAACCUAACAGACUUGGAAGCACACAAGGAAAUAGAUGGAACUGGCAUGCCACGGAUAGAGCAGGACGAGCUUGCAAACCUAACCAAACACCCUCUUUCUGAUAUAACAAUUGAUGAUCAGCCUGGGCAUGCGAGUUUACGUACGUGGGUUCCAUAUUUAAACACACUAUCUACCCUAUUCGGUUAGCAGGAAACUGCCUCAUUCUGUACUGGUUUUGUUUUGUAGACAACCCAUCAAUCUCCUUCUGUAGCCCUGAUGUUGCUUCGCUCCCUGAUCCGAGUACUCUCACAGAUAUUUUUGCCUGCGGCCUUGCAGGAAGUUCAUUUGGUAUGGUCUGACACGUGCAUCAUGGACAGUGAUCAAACGUCUCUAUGAAUGUACAUGUUGACUAAUUCUCAUCAAGAUUUGUUGUUUAUACAUCGUGCAGACAAUAAUGUGCCUUCGUUCCCGGAUAGGAGUACUCUUGCAUCACUUUAUGCCGCAGGUCACUUUAUGCCUUUCAUAUGGCCAGAUUUGUGCUUAAAGGGAUGCAUGUUCAUGUAUUAGCCUAACCGACAUAUUUUCUUUUGUUCCUGCAGCCAGAGAGUCUGCCCACAAUGAUGUGUGUCUUAAUGCCCUUGGUUGUGGUGGUUCAGAGCUUGUGACAUCGUCUACCCCAACAUGUGAUGUAUACCCAACUCAUUCCGAGACAACAUGUGCUAUUGUGAAUGACCAAGUGAGUUAUAGCAUAACAGACGACAAAAGGGAGCAGAGAAACGCACGACCGCGAGCAACUUAUCGAAAGAAAAAGGAUGAACAGGUCAAGCUCCAAAAUGAAAAGCAGGCUGUUUCCCGACCCCCUCUUGGUGAUAUCACUAAUAUUGAUCAGCCUUCCGUUUCAAUGCCAGGUACGGGUGUUUAAAGUUAUGAGCUUACGGCGGUGACAAACCAAAUUUGGGAAUCAAAUAUUAGAAUACGCACUUUUAGCUUUGACUUACAAUAAUUGAUUCGAUAUGAAGUUAAAAACUGGAGUUUGAUAUAUGAACGGUCAAGAAAUGUCAUAUAUCGGAAUGCUUAAAAAAACAUCUGCGGUGUUAGAAAGACGUAAAUGGAUUUAAAAAUUAAAUUAGAUUUACCGGCACUCAAGAAGGUGAAUAAGAUGAUAGAUGGUUCUCGAUUUGUCGGAGAAAGAAACAAUGUGGAGUAUGAAACAUUAACUAUCACAACGUCAGUAGCAAACAUUGAUAUGAAAUAGAUGUAUAGUACCCAAGAUGGGUAUAUUAUCAAUUGGGCCAAGUUCUCCAUUGGCACUGCAUGUAUUUUUUUCUCUCGUUGCAAUGGCAAAAUAGAAAAAAUUAUGUAAGCGGACUUGCCAAUGUUCACCAGAUCGACGCACCUCCCACCACCCUGUACCACUGGUUUUAAACUACAUAUCGACAAAAAACCAGAUCGACGCACCAACGAGGACCCGAUCCGCUCCUCGUUUCCCACGUCCGUAAUGGAUCACGAGAACGCCGCCGCCGCUGCCGCCUCACAUACGUCGCCAGUGGCAGAUCACGAACAAUACCGUCGCGGAUCGGCAGGCCGCCGCCGCCUCAGGUACCCACACACCACGAUCCCGUCGCGGAUCAGCAGGCCGCCGCCGCCGCCAAGUCAGGUACCCACACACCACGAUCCCGUCGUGGGUCAGCAAGACACCGCCGCCACCGCCUCGGGCAGCCACACGCCACAGAUCUCCGACGACGAUGCCUACGGCGGCAAGCAGUGCAGGGCGUCUUCACUGAUCAGUUUUCAACCUUGCUUUCUUAAAGGUACGUAUGCUCAUGAUCUCUUAAAGAUCACGCAAGGCUACAAAAGACAAUUGUCACCAGAUGGAGCCAUAUGCAACAGAGCCAUAUACGAUGGAGCCACCAGAUGGAGCCAUACGAAUAAAUGUUCCGCAUGUUCCCAGUUCGAACACCAAAAAUACAUCCCAAGACAAUAAAUGUUUAUCAGAUGUAUACAGUGUAGUCAUUUCUUCCCUAUGUUCGCAGUUGGAACACCAAAAAUACAUGGCAAGCCAAUUGUUCAGUAUACAUACCACAUCAAUUCUAAUGCUGUUGAAAAAUGAUAGGUACGAAUGGGAAAUGCAAAUAGCAAGGCGCCGGAAGAGAAAAGAGUGUCAGAUGUGCUUGUACCCCCUCUUGCUGACCUACAUUCACAAGGGAGCCAAAGUACGUUAGAAUAACAUAAAUGAGUCAGAUGUCAAGGGUGCCCAACAAUCAUUGUAUCUCGCUAAUGUGUUCUAGGCCAUAAUGUUGACGAAAGUGUUGAUGAAUACAACCCAGCAAUAAUUCCCGUAGCUGACAAUGUUGACAAUUAUCAAAUGACUCCAGGUAUUGGAGUCUGUAAAUACCCCUAUCUGUUGUAUCAUAUAGUUUUAACAUGAUCAAUCGUGCCUAACAGACUUGGAAGCACACAAGGAAACAGAUGGAACUGGCAUGCCACGGAUAGAGCAGGACGAGCUUGCAAACCUAACCAAACACCCUCUUUCUGAUAUAACAAUUGCUGAUCAGCCUGGGCAUGCGAGUUUAGUAUGUGGGUUCCAUAUUUAAACACACUAUCUACCCUAUUCGGUUAGCAGGAAACUGCCUCAUUCUGUACUGGUUUUGUUUUAUAGACAACCCAUCAAUCUCCUUCUGUAGCCCUGAUGUUGCUUCGUUCCCUGAUCCGAGUACUCUCACAGCUAUUUUUGCCUGCGGCCUUGCAGUAAGUUCAUUUGGUAUGAUCUGACACGUGCAUCAUGGACAGUGAUCAAACGUCUCUAUGAAUGUACAUGUUGACUAAUUCUCAUCAAGAUUUGUUGUUUAUACAUCGUGCAGACAAUAAUGUGCCUUCAUUCCCGGAUAGGAGUACUCUUGCAUCACUUUAUGCCGCAUGUCACUUUAUGCCUUUCAUAUGGCCAGAUUUGUGCUUAAAGGGAUGCAUGUUCAUGUAUUAGCCUAACCGACAUAUUUUCUUUUGUUCCUGUAGCCAGAGAGUCUGCCCACAAUGAUGUGUGUCUUAAUGCCCUUGGUUGUGGUGGUUCAGAGCUUGUGACAUCGUCUACCCCAACAUGUGAUGUAUACCCAACUCAUUCCGAAACAACAUGUGUUGUUGUGAAUGACCAAGUGAGUUAUAGCAUAACAAACGACAAAAGGGAGCAGAGAAACGCACGACGGCGAGCAACUUAUUGAAAGAAAAAGGAUGAACAGGUCAAGCUCCAAAAUGAAAAGCAGACUAUUUCCCGACCCCCUCUUGGUGAUAUCAUUAAUAUUGAUCAGCCUUCCGGUUCAAUACCAGGUGCGGGUGUUUAAAGUUAUGAGCUUACGGCGGUGACAAACCAAAUUUGGGAAUCAAAUAUUAGAAUACGCACUUUUAGCUUUGACUUACAAUAAUUGAUUCAAUAUGAAGUUAAAAACUGGAGUUUGAUAUAUGAACGGUCAAGAAAUGUCAUAUAUCGGAAUGCUUAAAAAAACAUCUGCAGUGUUAGAAAGAUGUAAAUGGAUUUAAAAAAAUAAAUUAGAUUUACCGGCACUCAAGAAGGUGAAUAAUAUGAUAGAUAGUUCUCGAUUUGUCGGAGAAAGAAACAAAUGUGGAGUAUGAAACAUUAACUAUCACAACGUCAGUAGAAAACAUUGAUAUGAAAUAGAUGUAUAGUACCGAAGAUGGGUAUAUUAUCAAUUGGGUCAAGUUCUCCAUUGGCACUGCAUGUAUUUUUUUCUCUCGUUGCAAUGGCAAAAUAGAAAAAUUUAUGUAAGCGGACUUGCCAAUGUUCACCAGAUCGACGCACCUCCCACCAUCCCGUACCACUGGUUUUAAACUACGUAUCGACAAAAAACCAGAUCGACGCACCAACGAGGACCCGAUCCGCUCCUCGUUUCCCACGUCCGUCCUGGAUCACGAGAACGCCGCCGCCGCUGCUGCCUCACAUACGUCGCCGGUGGCAGAUCACGAACAAUACCGUCGCGGAUCGGCAGGCCGCCGCCGCUUCAGGUACCCACACACCACGAUCCCGUCGUGGAUCAGCAGGCCGCCGCCGCCGCCAAGUCAGGUACCCACACACCAUGAUCCCAUCGUGGGUCAGCAAGACACCGCCGCCACCGCCUCGGGCAGCCACACGCCACAGAUCUCCGACGACGACGCCUACGGCGGCAAGCAGUGCAGGGCGUCUUCACUGAUCAGUUUUCAACCUUGCUUUCUUAAAGGUACGUAUGCUCAUGAUCUCUUAAAGAUCACGCAACGCUACAAAAGACAAUUGUCACCGGAUGGAGCCAUAUGCAACAGAGCCAUAUACGAUGGAGCCACCAGAUGGAGCCAUACGAAUAAAUGUUCCCCAUGUUCCCAGUUCGAACACCAAAAAUACAUCCCAAGACAAUAAAUGUUUAUCAGAUGUAUACAGUGUAGUCAUUUCUUCCCUAUGUUCGCAGUUGGAACACCAAAAAUACAUGGCAAGCCAAUUGUUCAGUAUACAUACCACAUCAAUUCUAAUGUUGUUGAAAAAUGAUAGGUACGAAUGGGAAAUGCAAAUAGCAAGGCGCCGGAAGAGAAAAGAGUGCCAGAUGUGCUUGUACCCCCUCUUGCUGACCUACAUUCACAAGGGAGCCAAGGUACGUUAGAAUAACAUAAAUGAGUCAGAUGUCAAGGGUGCCCAACAAUCAUUGUAUCUCGCUAAUGUGUUCCAGGCCAUAAUGUUGACGGAAGUUUUGAUGAAUACAACCCAGCAAUAAUUCCCGUAGCUGACAAUGUUGACAAUUAUCAAUUGACUCCAGGUAUUGGAGUCUGUAAAUACCCCUAUCUGUUGUAUCAUAUGGUUUUAACAUGAUCAAUCGUGCCUAACAGACUUGGAAGCACACAAGGAAACAGAUGGAACUGGCAUGCCACGGAUAGAGCAGGACGAGCUUGCAAACCUAACCAAACACCCUCUUUCUGAUAUAACAAUUGCUGAUCAGCCUGGGCAUGUGAGUUUACGUACGUGGGUUCCAUAUUUAAACACACUAUCUACCCUAUUCGGUUAGCAAGAAACUGCCUCAUUCUGUACUGGUUUUGUUUUGUAGACAACCCAUCAAUCUCCAUUGUAGCCCUGAUGUUGCUUCGUUCCCUGAUCCGAGUACUCUCACAGAUAUUUUUGCCUGCGGCCUUGCAGGAAGUUUAUUUGGUAUGAUCUGACACGUGCAUCAUGGACAGUGAUAAACGUCUCUAUGAAUGUACAUGUUGACUAAUUCUCAUCAAGAUUUGUUGUUUAUACAUCGUGCAGACAAUAAUGUGCCUUCAUUCCCGGAUAGGAGUACUCUUGCAUCACUUUAUGCCUCAGGUCACUUUAUGCCUUUCAAAUGUCCAGAUUUGUGCUUAAAGGGAUGCAUGUUCAUGUAUUAGCCUAACCGACAUAUUUUCUUUUGUUCCUGCAGCCAGAGAGUCUACCCACAGUGAUGUGUGUCUUAAUGCCCUUGGUUGUGGUGGUUCAGAGCUUGUGACAUCGUCUACCCCAACAUGUGAUGUAUACCCAAGUCAUUCCAAGACAACAUGUGCUGUUGUGAAUGACCAAGUGAGUUAAAGCGUAAAAGACGACAAAAGGGAGCGGAGAAACGCACGACGGCGAGCAACUUAUUGAAAGAAAAAGGAUGAACAGGUCAAGCUCCAAAAUGAAAAGCUGACUGUUUCUCGACCCCCUCUUGGUGAUAUCACUAAUAUUGAUCAGCCUUCCGGUUCAAUGCCAGGUACGGGUGUUUAAAGUUAUGAGCUUACGGCGGUGACAAACCAAAUUUGGGAAUCAAAUAUUAGAAUAUGCACUUUUAGCUUUGACUUACAAUAAUUGAUUCAAUAUGAAGUUAAAAACUGGAGUUUGAUAUAUGAACGGUCAAGAAAUGUCAUAUAUCGGAAUGCUUAAAAAAACAUCUGCGGUGUUAGAAAGACGUAAAUGGAUUUAAAAAAUUAAAUUAGAUUUACCGGCACUCAAGAAGGUGAAUAAUAUGAUAGAUGGUUCUCGAUUUGUCAGAAAAAGAAACAAAUGUGGAGUAUGAAACAUUAACUAUCACAACGUCAGUAGCAAACGUUGAUAUGAAAUAGAUGUAUAGUACCCAAGAUGGGUAUAUUAUCAAUUGGGCCAAGUUCUCCAUUGGCACUGCAUGUAUUUUUUUCUCUCGUUGCAAUGGCAAAAUAGAAGAAUUUUGCAAAAUAGAAGAAUUUAUGUAAGCGGACUUGCCAAUGUUCACCAGAUCAACGCACCUCCCACCACCCCGUACCACUAGUUUUAAACUACAUAUCGACAAAAAACCAGAUCGACGCACCAACGAGGACCCGAUCCACUCCUCGUUUCCCACGUUCGUCCUGGAUCACGAGAACGCCGCCGCCGCUGCCGCCUCACAUACGUCGCCCAUGGCGGAUCACGAACAAUACCGUCGCGGAUCAGCAGGCCGCCGCCUUAGGUACCCACACACCACGAUCCAGUCGCGGAUCAGCAGGCCGCCGCCACCGCCAAGUCAGGUACCCACACACCACGAUCCUGUCGCGGGUCAGCAAGACACCGCCGCCACCGCCUCGGGCAGCCACACGCCACAGAUCUCCGACGACGACGCCUACGGCGGCAAGCAGUGCAGGGCGUCUUCACUGAUCAGUUUUCAACCUUGCUUUCUUAAAGGUACAUACGCUCAUGAUCUCUUAAAGAUCACGCAACGCUACAAAAGACAAUUGUCACCAGAUGGAGCCAUAUGCAAUAGAGCCAUAUAUGAUGGAGCCACCAGAUGGAGCCAUACGAAUAAAUGUUCCCCAUGUUCCCAGUUCGAACACCAAAAAUACAUCCCAAGACAAUAGAUGUUUAUCAGAUGUAUACACUGUAGUCAUUUCUUCCCUAUGUUCGCAGUUGGAACACCAAAAAUAUAUGGCAAGCCAAUUGUUCAGUAUACAUACCACAUCAAUUCUAAUGUUGUUGAAAAAUGAUAGGUACGAAUGGGAAAUGCAAAUAGCAAGGCGUCGGAAGAGAAAAGAGUGUCAGAUGUGCCUGUACCCCCUCUUGCCGACCUACAUUCACAAGGGAGCCAAGGUACGUUAGAAUAACAUAAAUGAGUCAGAUGUCAAGGGUGCCCAACAAUCAUUGUAUCUCGCUAAUGUGUUCCAGGCCAUAAUGUUGAUGGAAGUGUUGAUUAAUACAACCCAAGAAUAAUUCCCGUAGCUGACAAUGUUGACAAUUAUCAAAUGACUCCAGGUAUUGGAGUCUGUAAAUUACCCUAUCUGUUUUAUCAUAUGGUUUUAACAUGAUCAAUCGUGCCUAACAGACUUGGAAGCACACAAGGAAACAGAUGGAACUGGCAUGCCACGGAUAGAGCAGGACGAGCUUGCAAACCUAACCAAACACCCUCUUUCUGAUAUAACAAUUGCUGAUCACCCUGGGCAUGCAAGUUUACGUACGUGGGUUCCAUAUUUAAACACACUAUCUACCCUAUUCGGUUAGCAGGAAACUGCCUCAUUCUGUACUGGUUUUGUUUUGUAGACAACCCAUCAAUCUCCUUCUGUAGCCCUGAUGUUGCUUCGUUCACUGAUCCGAGUACUCUCACAGAUAUUUUUGCCUGCGGCCUUGCAGGAAGUUCAUUUGGUAUGAUCUGACACGUGCAUCAUGGACAGUGAUCAAACGUCUCUAUGAAUGUACAUGUUGACUAAUUCUCAUCAAGAUUUGUUGUUUAUACAUCGUGCAGACAAUAAUGUGCCUUCGUUCCCGGAUAGGAGUACUCUUGCAUCACUUUAUGCCGCAGGUCACUUUAUGCCUUUCAUAUGGCCAGAUUUGUGCUUAAAGGGAUGCAUGUUCAUGUAUUAGCCUAACCGACAUAUUUUCUUUUGUUCCUGCAGCCAGAGAGUCUGCCCACAAUGAUGUGUGUCUUAAUGCCCUUGGUUGUGGUGGUUCAGAGCUUGUGACAUCGUCUACCCCAACAUGUGAUGUAUACCCAACUCAUUCCGAGACAACAUGUGCUAUUGUGAAUGACCAAGUGAGUUAUAGCAUAACAGACGACAAAAGGGAGCAGAGAAACGCACGACGGCGAGCAACUUAUCGAAAGAAAAAGGAUGAACAGGUCAAGCUCCAAAAUGAAAAGCAGGUUGUUUCCCGACCCCCUCUUGGUGAUAUCACUAAUAUUGAUCAGCCUUCCGUUUCAAUGCCAGGUACGGGUGUUUAAAGUUAUGAGCUUACGGCGGUGACAAACCAAAUUUGGGAAUCAAAUAUUAGAAUACGCACUUUUAGCUUUGACUUACAAUAAUUGAUUCGAUAUGAAGUUAAAAACUGGAGUUUGAUAUAUGAACGGUCAAGAAAUGUCAUAUAGCGGAAUGCUUAAAAAAACAUCUGCGGUGUUAGAAAGACGUAAAUGGAUUUAUAAAAUUAAAUUAGAUUUACCAGCACUCAAGAAGGUGAAUAAUAUGAUAGAUGGUUCUCGAUUUGUCGGAAAAAGAAACAAAUGUGGAGUAUGAAACAUUAACUAUCACAACGUCAGUAGCAAACGUUGAUAUGAAAUAGAUGUAUAGUACCCAAGAUGGGUAUAUUAUCAAUUGGGCCAAGUUCUCCAUUGGCACUCCAUGUAUUUUUUUCUCUCGUUGCAAUGGCAAAAUAGAAGAAUUUAUGUAAGCGGACUUGCCAAUGUUCAGAAUACAUAUGGUUCUAAACUUCUUCAGAUUAGCAUAAAGAGCAAUCAAUCAUAGUUUGCUAACCUGAAGAAUAUACUGACACCUUUAACUGUAUUCUGAAAGAGCAUUUUACUUCUACAUGCGAGAACAAGUAUUAGACAAAUUUGAUGUUACCUCAGCAGUGAGCUACACAUUAGUGUAUUUCUUGCCAAUAACAGAGGUAUAACACUGAAUGGCACGGUUGUGUAUUUCUUGCCAAAAGUUCCUUUAACAAACCUGCAAGUAAAUGCCACUUGAAAUUAGAUGAUCAUUACAAAAUACCGCAGGAUUUCACAUCAACUCACUGUAGUACGAAAUACAUGCUGGCUAGACAAGAAAUAUUAGGGCAUUUACAAACGAAGUAUAUGGAACAAAAAAUGGCUGAAGAAAACAGUAGACGUGUUGGCUUAGUUCGGGAUCUUCAUGAUUGUUGAGCAUUGAUGAGAUGAUUAUGUUUUAACUUUAUUGUUGUACCAGCCAACCCAUCAAACCGGAACUAUACAUCCCGGCCCCCUCUUGGUGAUAUCACUAAUAUUGAUCAGCCUUCCGGUUCGCUGCCAGGUAUGGGUGUUUAAACUUUUAACAUAACAAUGAUAAUAUAGAUUCAUUUAUUGUACCCAUCGAGCUUGAACUAUACAUCCUUGUCACAUGAUGAUGCUCCAGAAGAUGGAUCCGCAUCAGCCAUUGCUGAAUUCAAUCAUGAAAAAGAGUUGGCUAGGAGGCAACGUGCAAGAGACCGCAGUAGUAAUAUGGCAGACGAACAAAGGGAGCGAAGAAAUGCACAGAGACGGGCAUCUUAUCUGAAGAAAAAGGAAGAGGGUACGAUCAACCUCCAAAACAAUAAUCAAGUGCAGCGUGAGUGACGAAAGGAACAACGAAACAGCAGGACCCCUGAUGAGCAGGGGGAGUCAAGUACGAAGAGAAAGGCAGACUAUGCUAGAAGGAAAAACACCCCGUGUGCUGAAUCGAUUGCAAUGCCACGUCCAGAUCUAACUAGCGCAUUGUCCAACUCUCCCUCUUUCAACACUCACGCCAAUUGUCCGACCCUCACACUUCCAACCAUCACGCAACAAUCCAGCAGUGAACAGAUAGAUCGUGCUACAACUGUCAAGUCGGCCCCCACAUACAUUCGCAACACCGAAACCGAUGGUAGUUAUCCCAUCAACGAUCAUCUUUCAUUUUGUAAUCAUUCAUCGGUUAUUUAUACCAAAUUCGAUAAUGUUGUAGGUGCAUACCUAAGCAGAACCUUAGGUGAUGGUGCUGUAGAUGGCGACCUCAUCGAAACCAGUGAUCCGGUAACAAUUGCGGAUAAUGGAGUUGACGAGCAGAGUCAUGAGUCCAGAGCUCGGCAUAGGACAAGAGAGCGAGCUUGCAAGGGAAGUAUGGCGGCGAUGAAGUGUCAGGAGAAAAUUGGCAAGCGAAAAAUAUGUACGCAACUGCCACGUGGUGAGAGGAAUGCUCUGCUAGAUCGUCGUAAUGAAAGGUUUGCAGGUAGGGUUAAUACCCCAACCGUCAGGUCCAUCUCCAUACCGAAAAUGAGCUCAACGGGACAACCUACCGUAGUUGAAGCACACAGUGCCUCAACAUCAUCUAGCACGCCGGAGUACACGAUCAGAAGUGAAGGUAACACCCCCAUCCUUACUCUCCUUGCGUCCCUUGAGACUGAACCCUCAUUUGUGUUGUUUGGCACCUGGGCAGACGACAUGGACGCUUACCUCAAUGGUUUCAUGAAUGAUGAUGUCAAUCCUGACGACCUCUUUGACGAUGAAUAUUACCUGUUUGCUGGUGAAGGUAUGUACAAUCGCUUGAGCGUAAUCCACAUGUUGGGGGUAUCACACUAAUUGGAAACAUUGUUUGCAGGCUCAGAUGCUGAUGACUUGGAGCACGACGAAUUGGAAGACUCAAAUCACAAAAACUAUGGAGACCAUGAUCCAUUUGACUAUGUGUACUCAAACCUACCAGACAACACACACAUCCUGAAGCACGCCGCAAACUGCGACCACUGCAAGGCCAAGAAGUUUGUCAGCGAGGCCCCGGGAUUCUGCUGUCGCAGUGGGAAGAUCGAGUUGAAGCAACCGGAGCCCAUCACGGAGCUCAUGAGGCUUUGGUCUAGCACUGAUGCGGACACUAGGCAUUUUCGGGAGAACAUACGGUUCUUCAAUGGACACUUUUGCUUCACAACCCUCGGCGUCAGCCUCGAUGAAACAUACACAAACAUGAAGUCUGGGUGUACACGUUCCGGGCGCAUGGCACCAUCUACCACAACGGUCAUUCCUUCGAACCAACAUCCCGUCCAGAUCAUCUACAGUUGUACUUCUACGACGACGACCCAGGCCUAACCCAUCGCAAGGCUGCCACCGAGAAAUUAGACCAGGAUGUCGUCAAAAAGUUGGUGCACAUACUCAGGGAAAACCCGUACUCUCAGCAGUUUAGGAGUUUGGGUGCGCACAGAGACAACCUCGACAAUUACAGGAUAGACCUCAACACUAACCAGAGACUAGACCAACGGAAGUAUAAUAGACCUCUGUCAUCUGAGGUCGCUGCAAUUUGGGUGGAGGGCACUGACCUAGCGAAGAGAUUCGAUCGUAGGAUUACACUUUGCGGGAACGACAACCAGAGGCACAGUAUACAUGUGACGGCUGGCUCGUAUGACCCGCUCUCUUACCCACUCUUCUACCCAAGGGGGGAGCUCGGUUGGCACCCGAAACUACCUAAACGUAAUGUCCCUUGGCCGGUUGUGCAACAACCAAGAGGUGGACAUGAUGAUGAUGAUGAUGAGGAGGAGGAGGAUGCACGUAAGCCUUAUGUGUAUUCUGUCAUUUUGAUGUAUUGUGUAGUUCUCAUAUGAAUUCUAACUUCCGCACUACUCAUCCAUGUGCAGAGGGGAAUAGCAGGUUAUGCGUCUCCGUGAGAGACUACUACUGUUACAUGCUGCAGACACGGCCUGGGAUAUUCAAUCCCAUACUCUGUGGAGCACGAUUGCUACAGCAAUGGGGGGCGGACAUGUACAUCAAGAUUGAGAGUUGUAGGUUGAAAUGGUACAGGAAGAACCAGACAAAGAUCCGUGCCGACCUGUAUAAAGGAGUUGUUGAUGCAAUUACAUCCGGGGAGACCCGGGCAAGCGCUGUUAGAGUAAGGAUAGUGCUCCCUGGAACGUACCCAGGUGGCGACCGUGACAUGAAGCGGAGGCAUAUGGAUGCCAUGGCAAUUGUCCAUACGUACGGGAAGCCUGACAUCUUCUUGACCAUGACCUGCAACCCUAACUGGGAAGAGAUAACGAAUGAGUUGUUUCCUGGUCAGACAGCGCAAGAUCGACCUGAUCUUGUGGCUCGUGUGUUCCAUGGCAAGCUAGAGGCUAUGAAAGAGAUCUUGUUCAAGAAGAAUAUCCUAGGUGUUGUUGUCGCACAUGUAUAUGUAGUCGAGUUCCAGAAGAGGGGCCUCCCCCAUGCACACUUUUUGUUGAUCAUGGAUUCUGCCUAUAAGCUUGUCGUUCCAGAGCAGUACGACCGACUCAUUUCUGCCGAGCUCCCAGACAAACAGAAGUAUCCUGAACUCCACACCUUGGUGGUGAAACAUAUGAUGCACGGACCAUGCGGUGCUCUCAACCCCAAAAAUGUGUGCAUGCAACAGAACGUGUGCAAGUGCAGAUACCCACGGCCGUUCAAUGAAAACACGGCACAGGGCAAGGACUCAUACCCAGUUUAUCGUCGUCGAGAUGAUGGUCGGCAGGCUAAGGUCCAUGGUAAAAUGUUGGACAACAGAUGGGUUGUGCCAUAUAACCCUUACCUUCUGCGGAUGUUCAAUUGCCACAUCAACGUUGAGGUUUGCUCCAGCAUAAAGGUCGUCAAAUACCUUUACAAGUACAUAUACAAGGGCCAUGGUAGGGCUUCUUUCAGCAUCGACCAGCCCGACGCCGAUGGUAACAUUGAUGAGAUCAAAAGAUACGUAGACGCGAGGUGGGUUACUCCUCCAGAGGCGAUGUGGAGGAUAUUUGGCUUCCCCUUGUGUGCAAAUGACCCGCCUGUCCUAUAGUUGCCUCUUCAUCUCCCGAAUAUGCACAGGGUGGCCUUCAAUGAGCAAGCUCACUUGACCGACGUAGUCACCUCUGAGAAUGCUUCCAAAUCCAUGUUAACAGAGUAUUUCAAAGCUAACCAAAACCACCCCUGGGAUAGGAAUAUAUUGUACAAGGAUUUUCCUGGAAGGUUCACAUGGCAGAAGGGUAAGAAGUAUUGGAAAGAGCGGGUGGAGCAUUAUCAGAUAGGUCGAAUUGUGUCUGCCAAUCCUGCCGAGGGGGAGCGAUAUUAUCUGCGUGUGCUGCUAAACCAUGUUAUUGGCAAGACAUCCUAUGAGGACCUGCUCACCGUGGACGGUAGGCUAUGCGGGAGCUUUAGAGAGGCUGCCGAAAGGUUGGGACUCAUCGAGGCAGAUAACACGCUCGACGACUGUCUUACCGAGGCAGAGCAAUGGGCGAUGCCAUGUUCGCUCAGGAGGCUCUUCGCAACAAUUUUGGUGCACUGUGAGCCAGGCGACGUGCGUGGUUUAUGGGAUAGGCACCUCGAGCCUAUGUCUGAUGACUAUCGGCGAUCACACACAUGCCCUAUUGAGGUGGAACAGAUGGUGUUGCUUAACAUUUGGGGUAUGUUGCAGUCCAUGGGCAAAGACAUAGCUGAUUUCGCUCUUCCAUGCAUUGACGAUGCGUUCGACCCAACCAAGGGCGAGGCCAGAGAAGUGAUCGAGGAAUCCAACAUCGAUUUUGACAUCAACGACACUAAAUUGGCAUCGUCGCUAAACUUCGAGCAGAGGGUUGCAUACGACGAGAUACUAGCUGCUGUUGAUGGCGUUGAUGGGGGUGUGUUCUUUGUUGAUGGCCCGGGAGGUACAGGGAAGACCUUCCUGUACAGGGCGCUGCUUGCCAAGGUUCGAAGCGAGGGAAACAUCGCUAUCGCUACCGCGACGUCAGGCGUCGCGGCUUCUAUCAUGCCUGGAGGCAGGACUGCCCACUGUAGUUCAAGAUCCCAUUGAGUUGCGAUGAUGGCGCCUCCUGCACCUUCAUGAAGCAGAGUGGUACCGCCAAGCUACUGAGGAUGGCCUCAUUGAUACUAUGGGACGAGGCCACCAUGACUAAGCGACAGGCGGUCGAGGCACUGGACAACAGCAUGCGCGACAUCAUGGGAAGACGGGACCGACCCUUUGAAGGAAAAACUGUUGUGUUUGGCGGGGACUUCAGGCAGGUGCUUCCGGUCAUCGGGAGGGGGUCCCGGGGUCAGAUAAUUGAUGCAACCCUCCGAAGUUCACAUCUCUGGAAGGGUAUGCGCCAGCUAAGGCUCGUCACCAACAUGAGGGCUCAUAAUGACACCUGGUUUACGGAUUACUUGCUAAGGGUAGGCAAUGGCACUGAGGAAGUUGACGAUCAAGGAAACAUACGACUCCCUGAAGAUAUUUGUGUGCCAUCUACAGGCGAGGGUGACGACCUAGAGAAGCUGAUUGACCAUGUGUUUCCGAGACUAGAUGACAACAUGUCCGAUCCGAAUUACAUGACUUCACGCGCAAUCCUCUCCACCACAAAUGACAACGUCGACAAGAUAAACAUACGCAUGGUAGAGCGUUUUCGGGGAGAAGAAGUAAUAUACCAUAGCUUUGACAGUGCAGAAGACGACCCAUAUGGCUACUACGCUCCCGAGUUCCUGAAUGGGUUGACUCCCAACGGUCUGCCUCCGCAUGCACUCAAACUGAAGCUCAACUGCCCUGUCAUACUUCUAAGGAACAUUGACCCGGCUAAUGGUCUGUGUAACGGGACGAGGCUUGUGGUCCGAGGUUUCGAGAGGAACGCCAUCGACGCAGAAAUCGUGAUCGGACAACACGUAGGUAGGAGGGUAUUCCUUCCUUGAAUACCCCUAUGCCCGUCUGACAAUGACAUGUUUCCAUUCAAGUUCAAGAGGAAGUAAUUUACUGUAAGGCUUAGCUUUGCUAUGACGAUUAACAAGGCUCAAGGACAGACGGUUCCGAUUGUUGGCAUGUACCUACCUAAUCCGGUGUUCUCUCAUGGUCAACUCUAUGUCGCGUUGUCUCGAGCCACCGCGAAGAGGAACAUAAAGAUCCUCAUUGAGAAGGAGAAGGAGAAGGAUAAUGGCAAGAAGCAAAGUGGUAAAUCAAAGAAGCGAAAAAGACCUUCCUUGUCCUUACAAACCUCGAUGAAGAACAUCGUCUAUAAGGAAGUCCUUACAGGCUGAAGUCCGCACUUACGAAACCGGUGGGUUUUGAAUAUGACAAUAGCAUUUACUCUUAUUCUACAGAUAAUUUGUUGCUCUGGAGCGCUUUUGUACAAAUGUUUAUCUUUGUUUCUUAUUUGACUGCAAUCUUUAAUUAAACAUGCACGACCACUAUCAGAUUAAGAAUGCCCAGCUUCAGUGGCGUUGCUACGGCCAGUGCACUUCAUCUUCAAUUUUAUCACGUUUUGCUCAGACUCUGAGGAUUUAGAGUAUGCAUCUAUACAGUUUUGGCAUCCAGUACACCUAUGAUUUGAACGUCUCGAGAUGUAGGUAUAGCCAAUAUGACCUGUUAGAUAAUAACAUGAUACGACCGCCCCCUAUUUUAAGUCUAUAUGUUUCAGUUUGGUUAGUAUACACUAGACAGAUUUAAUUAUUGUGGCAUUUUUGUCUAUCAAUAAUGUGUGUGCAUGUUUUCCUUAAGGAAACAACAUAUAGUUGUCUUCAUCACCGGGAACACACUUUAGGUGCAGAUCAUGAUAUUUCAGUUGGGCAGUUUUGACAUGGUACAUUUUUUCAGUCAAUAUUUGUUUAUUCUCUUGUUUAUCUUAAGCAGCAGUACUUCUCUCUUCAAAUGACACUACGACACCGUAUAGAAGUUGCAUACAGUUCAGCCGUUACUAAUGUGACUACCAUUGAAAAUGCCGUGUCAGACUCGAAUCACAUCCUAAUAGUUGUUAUAAAAAAACGUACUAUUGCUUGCCCACACAUUGAAGUACUACAUUUUUUAUUACCAUGUAUUUCUAAAAACUUUGCUACCAUGCCGGUUUAUUGCUAAACUCGUAAAGGUUUUCAAAAUUAAAACUGUGGUUCCUAAACCCUGUUAUGCUUUUGUUUGCAGCACAAUAUGGAGAUGCACAGUUACCACUUACCAGUAAAAGUAGUUCCUGUUUUAAUUUUGAGUGAACUGUUUGUUUUGGCCACGAGAUACUUUUAAGUUUAAGGCAUUAAUUAGUUUUUCUUGAAUAACUUGUGGGUGCAUGCAGAAAACACAUACUUCAGCAUUUAAUUGAAAAGGCUACUAUUCGUAAAUAGUAGUCUCUGUUGUUUCUCUUAAAUAGAGAGCUCAUAGAAUGAAUAAACAGAAGUGUAGAUGUGAUGAAUAGAGUAGAUAGAAGUACUGAUCUUACAAUUCUGUCACGUGAAGUGCAUCAUCGAUUACGUGGCAGAAAACUCCUGUCCAAUUGAAGUGCAUGGAUUUUCUCAAGGUCAUCACGUCUGAAUGCAAACAAAAAUAAGAAGGAAUGUCAGGAUGUAGUUUGUUAAUUGUAAACAUAAAUAACAUGGUAGCAGCCGCUUCUUGUUUUGAAAAUUGCAGUGCUCGGUUGACUGUAUCAGAUUAAGAAUGCCCUUUCGACUAAUCCAAAAUUCGUGGCUGUAAUUUCAAAUUGCAGUGCUCGGUGACUAUAGCCAAGAAGUAAAAUUUCAUAUCGCCUAGCUAGCCUGAUGCAUAAUGAGUCAUUUGAAAUGCAGAUGAUGAAGGCAAACAAGUAUUCGUCUGUCAGUAAGUAAUAAUUCUGUUAAGAACAGAACUAAAGGCAAGAAGAGUGCAUGCCAGAAAAAAUUCAGAUAACUGCAGAAUAACGAAGCAUGCAUCUCUACUACGCCAUAUGUGCAUAAAGUUCGGCAACCAUUAAAUCCCUAGCCGGAAACUAAUGUGUGUCCCUAAACUUACAUGUGGUAGUUUACUUCGGCAUCGACUGAAACUGGCCUUGAUUUCAGGUAACUGAAACUUAGGAUGCGCAUUGAAACUUAGUAUUCCCAAUAGACUGCUCAGCUUCGAUAGAUGAAGGUUCUCCAUCAUUAGCCCUGUUCUCAUCAUCAUAUUUGGCUGAUUCUUGCCUUUGAUCUUGAACUACAGAAACCUGUAGUGUGGAUAUACUCAGUACAUACUGACUGACAAGGUAUCAGGAAAAUAAAGGAGUAGAAUACCAGAGUUUCAGAGGUAAAUAUUGACAGUAGCAGAUUAUAUUAUAUGCUUAUGAACAACUAACACUUGUAGGAAUAACUAAUACUAAUUUAGUACUAUGGAAAACACCACGGCUCAAAAAAAAACAAUUACCUAACUCGCAAACAAAUAAAACAAUCUACUAUAUAUGAAGAUCGAUCCGACCAUAAGGUCUCUGAUUAUGUUGGAUAUCCCUGUACUACCUCGAUGAUAUAUACUCCCUGUUUAUAAGUAUUAAAAAAUACAGUAGUCAAAUGUUUUAUACUCCCAUUCUGUCCCUCCCCUAAAAACUGAAUCACAGGGAUGUCAUUGUUCUGCUCCAACAGAACAAUUAUUCCAAUAGAACAAUUAUUCCAACAGACAAAACUAAUCUAACAGAACUUGUAAUCAGGAUGUCACAUUACAUAUGAAUCAACUUACCAUCAUUUGUUCAGAUGAUGCAAAAUAUUUGUGAGUAUAGGCCAUGUUACAAGCAGAAGAAAGUAAACAUGAAGAGCCUCACCAGCACGAUUGCGUGCAAGUGCCGGCGGUAGAGACGAUUG
rnacentral:lncRNA from 1 species